rnacentral:rRNA from 1 species
UACAGAGGUCCCGAGCGUCGUUCGGAUUCAUUGGGCGUAAAGGGUGCGUAGGCGGCGGGGUAAGUCUGAUGUGAAAUCCUGGGGCUCAACCCCAGAACUGCAUUGGAUACUGCCUUGCUAGAGUACUGGAGAGGAAACUGGAAUUUACGGUGUAGCAGUGAAAUGCGUAGAGAUCGUAAGGAAGACCAGUGGCGAAGGCGGAUCUCUGGGCCUUACCUGACGCUCAGGCGCGAAAGCUAGGGGAGCGAACAGG